GAUGAAGAACGGAGCGAAAUGCGAUAAGUAAUGUGAAUUGCAGAAUUCAGUGAAUCAUCGAAUCUUUGAACGCACCUUGCACCCUUUGGCAUUCCGAAGGGUAUGCUCGUUUGAGUGUCAUUGUACUCUCACACUCCCAAUUGCUUUGGAUUGGGAGCGGUGGACUUGGGUGUUGCUGCUUGACUGAGGCUCACCUGAAAUAUGUUAGUGCACCUCUUGAUUGGACAUAGUACGGCGUGAUAAGUGUCUUCGCCGGCUCCUCGCAAAGAGGGUGGCCGAUCGGGAGCUCUGUUGCUUCAAACUGUCUUCGGACAAUCUUCUGGCGACUUGACCUCAAAUCGAGUAGGACUACCCGCUGAACUUAAGCAUAUCAAUAAGCGGAGGA
rnacentral:misc_RNA from 1 species